rnacentral:rRNA from 1 species
UACGAAGGGUGCAAACGUUGCUCGGAAUUAUUGGGCGUAAAGCGCACGUAGGCGGCUUUGCAAGUCCCAUGUGAAAUCCCACGGCUUAACCGUGGAAGUGCAUGGGAAACUGCAGAGCUUGAGUACUUAAGAGGAUCGCGGAAUUCCCGGUGUAGAGGUGAAAUGCGUAGAGAUCAGGCGGAACACCCGUGGCGAAGGCGGCCAGCUGGGCCGUCCCUGACGCUGAGGCGCGAAGGCGUGGGGAGCGAACGGG